rnacentral:rRNA from 1 species
UACGGAGGGGGCUAGCGUUGUUCGGAAUCACUGGGCGUAAAGCGCACGUAGGCGGACUUUUAAGUCAGAGGUGAAAUCCCAAGGCUCAACCUUGGAACUGCCUUUGAUACUGGGAGUCUUGAGGUCGGAAGAGGUGAGUGGAACUGCGAGUGUAGAGGUGAAAUUCGUAGAUAUUCGCAAGAACACCAGUGGCGAAGGCGGCUCACUGGUCCGAUACUGACGCUGAGGUGCGAAAGCGUGGGGAGCAAACAGG